GCCCCUGUAGUUUAAUGGAUAGAAUGCAAGCUUCCGGAGCUUGUGAUCGAGGUUCGAUUCCUCGUAGGGGCACCA
rnacentral:tRNA from 1 species